rnacentral:rRNA from 1 species
UCAGGCAGUCCCAAAAUAUUAGUCAAUGCUCGAAAGAGUGAACUAGCUAACUGAAAUCAAUUAAAAAAUUGAUAACAUAAGGGAAAAUAAUGAUAUUACCUUAUUAUUAGUGUCGUCCAAAACUGGUGCCAGAAGACUCGGUAAGGCCAGAGACAUAAACGUUAAUCGUCUUAAUCAGGCGUAAAGGGUUUGUAGGCGGCUUUUAAUUAAUUUAUAAUAAAAUUAAAAAAUAAAUAAAUUAAGAAUAAAAGCUAGAAUCAAAUAGAGGAUAUAUUAAAUAAUGCUUAGAGUAGGUCUGAUAUCCUUAAAUACUAAGUAGAAUAUUAAAGGCGAAAGCUUUUUUCCAUUAAUGAUUGACGCUCAGAAACGAAGGUGAGGAUAGGAAAUAGGAUUAGAUACCCAAAAUACCCCUCUCUGUCAACGAUGAAUGGUAAUUAUUAGUAAUUAAUUUAUUAAUGAUAAUGUUAACACGAUAACCAUUCCGCCUUGUGAGUACAACUGCAAAGUUGAAAACAAAAAAAUUAGUCGGUUUCGGAGCAAACGAAGUGAAGCAUGUUAUUUAAUUCAAUAAUCCGC